GACGAACGCUGGCGGCGUGCUUAACACAUGCAAGUCGAACGGUAAGGCUCCAGCUUGCUGGGGUACACGAGUGGCGAACGGGUGAGUAACACGUGGGUGACCUGCCCUGCACUUCGGGAUAAGCCUGGGAAACUGGGUCUAAUACCGGAUAGGACCGCACCGUGAGGGUGUGGUGGAAAGUUUUUUCGGUGUGGGAUGGGCCCGCGGCCUAUCAGCUUGUUGGUGGGGUAAUGGCCUACCAAGGCGGCGACGGGUAGCCGGCCUGAGAGGGGGGACGGCCACAUUGGGACUGAGACACGGCCCAGACUCCUACGGGAGGCAGCAGUGGGGAAUAUUGCACAAUGGGCGGAAGCCUGAUGCAGCGACGCCGCGUGGGGGAUGACGGCCUUCGGGUUGUAAACGCCUUUCACCAUCGACGAAGGGUUUCUGACGGUAGAUGGAGAAGAAGCACCGGCUAACUACGUG
rnacentral:rRNA from 1 species